rnacentral:lncRNA from 1 species
GCAAAUGUGCACGGGUUUUAUCAAGCUGAUUUGUUUUUUCUUAACAUAAACUCUCCAAUAAAUUUAACUUUAAAAAGAAAAUUAAAAAAAUAAUUAAAAUACGAAGUGAUAACUUCCUGUUGAUAGUGAAUUUUCUUAUCCUAUCAACAUUGAAUCUCUAGCACCACAAAGUGUUUCUAUAUUUAACAAAAAAAGUUAUCUGACGUGGACGUCCUAUAACAUGGACAAAAAUAAGGAAGCACACUCCAACAUCUUCCAAGUUCUCUGAUGGCUCUUUGCUUAUAUGGACGUUUUCUCUUCCAGACUUCAAUCAAAUUUUCCUGAACAUCAGUUAGUACUCAUGUGUAAUAAAAAUAAUGUAGAAAUCAAAAUUAAUAUCAAUACUUGUCAUAUAUUAAACCUCGUUGCACCUCAACAGGUGUGAUAUAGACAUUCUAUCCUAACAUAAUUUUUAGUUACUGCUUCCACUAAUAUGAUGCCUGAGAAGUAAAUAAAGCAAUAAAAGAGACUAUUUAAAGUUUUCUUGUCGAGGAUGAUGGAAUUCGAACACAAAUCCUAAUCAAAUGCUCCUGCAAAGAAAAAAAACACAAUUAGAAUUUCAUGAACAUAGAACUGUAACAUAUCAUUGCUCACAUAGAUUUUUUAUUAGAGGUAAUAUUUGGAGAUUAAUAGGAUUGAAAAAUAAAAUCAAAACCCACGUACAAAAUUAAAUCUAGAGCAAUCCAAGUUCAACUAAGAAAAAAGAGCUUAAAAAAUAGCACCCUAUGAUAAGAAUAAUAUAUAUAUAUAUAUAUAUAUAUAUAUAUAUAUAUAUGAUGUGUAAGUCAGCUACCCCUAAUUAUAGAAGAUUUACCUCUAAAAUAUUGAAAAACAUAUGGGGAUUCAAAGAAAAAAGGACUUCUACGUGAAAGGCAGACCAAAAUUAGUCAGUGAAGAAAACUGCUACUACAUGGGAAAAAGUUCAAAAAUUUAGAAUCUACAUUAUUAGGGUUUUAUAUAGUAAUUGAAUAAUAAUUAGAGGAAGAUAGUGAAAAAACGAUUUUGUCUAUUGCGGAUUCUUUUAAUGAAGGACAAAAAGUUCAAACAACAUUUCUAAGGUACUUCACACUUUUAAUAUAUUAUAGAUAUAGAUAUAGAUAUAGAUUAUAGAUAUAGAUAUAGAUUAUAAAUAUAGAUAGAUAUAGAUUAUAGAUAUAGAUAUAAAUAUAGAUAUAUGACAUCUGAGAGAAACAUUAUUUUAUGAAGAAAAAGUUAAGUUUUAGUCAAAAUAAAAGCAAUAUUUUUGAAAAAGUGGAACUUUUUUUAGAAAAUGCCAAAUUGAGACAAGUAUAGGAUUAAUUAUAUACACUUGGAUUUUUCAUGUGAAUUAUUUUGAAAUUGGAAAAAGUUACUUUAACCUAAAUAAAUCACUAGUCACAUGAAUAAACAUAAGUGUCUUUUUUAUUUGAAACAUUUAUUCUAAUGGGGAAACAUUAAGAAACUUACUUUUAUUAACCAAAGAUUAAGAAAGAAAAAUAUAAAGAUAAAACAAGAAAGAUAAUUCAAAAGAGAAUUUAUUUCGAUUUAAACAAAUUUAAGACUUAGCUACAUAAAAAUAUUCAAAUAUGAAUUACAAACUAAUAAAUAAAAAGAGAAAGGUUGAGAAAAACGAGCUUUAAACACAUUUGGACUUGCACAACUUUAAUCCUUAAUUUUUCAGUCCAUUUUUUUUUGCCCCUUUUGAUAUCAAAGUAUAUUAGCUUCCUUUUUGUAGCAUUUAGCUACACAUUUUUUAAACUUUGAUUUUUUUCCAUUUUUAGGCCUUGAUGUUUGACUCAAUGCUAUUGGUCUAAUAUCUCAAGUUUUCAAGAUCUAAGCUUGUCAAAGGAUAUAGGCCAUUAAAUUAGUUUUUCCAAUGCCACAAGUUUCUCCUUAAUCCGAUGUCGUGGAAAAAAGUUAGAUAAAUUAUCCCCAAGAGUUUGUCAGGAUGCCAGUGGUAAUGAUUUAGGCAACGAUUCAUUACCAGUCGUAACCUAGACUCGUUAUCAUGGAAGUGAUUGACCUAGAGAUUCUACUCAGUGGUAACGAGUCCAUCACAUGACUCGUUAUCAUACGUAACAAUUAGUCUUGUGGACUCGUAGCCACACUAGUGAGGACCCCCAUAUUUCCUUCCAGGGAUACCGAUUCUACCUCACGACUCGUUAUCAGUAACAAUGAGGCAUAGGGUGGACCCAUUACCUUAACAGAGAGGACCCCAGAAAGUGGGUCUCAGACCAUGACUAAUUCUAAUAACUCGUGGCCAGACCUAACGAGUCGCUAGGAGGGGGAGUCGUUACUUUAUCAAUAAAGGCUCAGAACCCAUGAUCUUAGGUCAUGACUCAGACCACGACUCAUGACCAGUGUGUAUAAUUCAUUGGGUGAGCUGUGACGACUGGGACCAAAAUUCCUACAUAAUUUUAUCAAGGGUUUUUUGGUAAAUUUCAUCUCUUUUAACCAGAAACUCAUAAUGUUUAAUCCUUCAAAACAUCUGUUAUCAGGGUAAACAUUAUCAAUACCUCUCAAAACUCAAAAAUCAUUCAACACACAGCAAAAGAACCAAUUUUUUCUCUCAAAAGUUGAACUAGGGUUCAUCAAGCAAGUUCAAAUUUCAAGAAGAUUUAUUCUAGGGGUUUGCUUUUUGGUAUGUGGGAUUUAAUCAAUAGGUCCCAUUGACCCAUUGAGUCCUAAGAAUUUUUCCAUUCUUAAGUAAAAUAUUCUUUUCCCUUCUUUUUGGGUUCCAGGUCAAAUAUGGGUUUUGUUCAACUCUUUUAAUUUAUUUUGUGUAUAAAUGAUGAAUACAUGUUUCCCAUAAGAUUUGUGUCUCCAUAUGUCCAAGAAUUAUAAACCUCCAUAUCACGAUUUGUUAUUGAAAUAUUAAGCCUUAGUUAUGACAUUCUCUACCAUGAUCAUCUUUUAAUAUUAUUAUGUUCUAUUGUAUUAGUCAUUGUUGGUGUGUUAUGAACACCCAAUACCUAGGAUCUUAAAACAUGAAUUAGUUUACAUGUUCAUGAUUACUUCAUAUCAUGCACUCAUUGUUAUUUUUAGAAUUCCAUGGUUUGAGCAUGUUAGUAUCAGUCAUGUUUUAGUUAUACUUUAGUGUCAUCCAGUUAGGAGUAAUACUUAGAACUAAGUGAAUGCAGGGAUGACGACGUCCCCAUCAGUUAGACAGAGACCAUUAGUAGUAGUCCCUAAGUUCUAGAACUGACACCAUUGUAGGUUAUAAGGGGUCACCCGUCAACUUAGGCUUGACACCCUAGUCCUUAGGAGCAUCAGUGUAGUGGAUCCAAACCAGCCAAUAUUGGUACCCUUGGCAAGGUACUAGCACUCUUCCAACUAGGGUUACAGGUUGGACCCUAAUUAGCUCAGAUUUAGGUUAUAGGUUGGACCCUUCCAAUUCAAAUUUUGUUUAGUUCAAGUUGGCAAGACCAAAUGUACAGUAUUUGGUCAUUCAGUUAUUUAGAUACCCAAUAUAUAUUUGUACUUGGUCUUGCAUUUGAUUUUCAUGUUCAUGCAUUCAUGCUUAGUAAAUAUGUAUAUUGGCUAGUUCUUUUUAUCUCACAUACUCUGUACAUUUAAAGUACUGAUCACGUACUUCUUUGCACUAUAUUAUCUCAUAAUAUAGGUUUGGAUGCUCAAUAUCCGAACCAUCCUUAGUGCAUUCACAGGCCACUCAUCUGCAGCCUUGGUGAGUCCUCAUCAAUCGAGGACUAGUUAUUUUAUCAGUUAUUCAUUUUAGUAUUUCUCUUCUUCAGUUAGUUAGAGUUAGUUGGCGGGACUGUCCCAACAACUCAUCAGGUUUAGAGGCUUUCAAACAGUUAGGCAGAUAGACAUGUUUCUUUUCAGUUUCAUUGAGUAUCUUCAGACAAUAUUUAUCUUGAUUUUAUGAUUAUUCCUUAUUAGUUUACUUUAGUUAGCUUUCGCUCAGUAUUUUGUUACAUCCCUCUAAUAUUUAUUUCUUAUGCAUGGCUAUGGGUUGGCUUGGGUCACUUGUGACUCUAAGCACCGUGUUACGACUAGGGGCAGUCUUGGAUCAUGAAAAACUUGCUAUCAGAGCAUAAGGUUUAAAGUGUCCUAGGGUAUCUGAAAGUCACGUUAAGUAGAGUAUAGUUGAUGGGUGUGAAACGCGCCACACUUAUGGGCGAUAGGCUAUAAAAUAUUUUAGAAAAGUCUUACUUCUUUAAUUAUUCAUGUCGUACAAUGGAGUGCAAGCUCUGUUAAAAUUUUUCAUCUAACUCAACCUCUACCCAUUUAUAGAAAAUGCCUCCUAGAAGGGCUAACAGAAGAAGGAAUGAGAACCAGCUAACAAUACUGCCUAUUCUCGAAGAACCACUGAAUGAGCAGGUCUAUCAUGCUGAAUUUAGGGCUGCUUUCAGAAUAACUAGCAGGUUGUUUCCCCAGCCAACCCAGUGGUGAGUAUGAAAACUGCGAGAAUCUGAGAUUUCACUUGGAUAAAUUGAUGUGUGAGCCCAUGCUAACACAUUUGAAGCUUUUAACUCUAAAUAAUUGCAAAGUCUUAAGAAACUUUAGUCGUUUUUGAUUAGUUUACGUUGGUUUUGCAGUAAAAGUAGAGAAGAAGGAGAACCAUAAAUAAAGGAAGCAAAAAGUAUGAAAUCAAAAGCAAAUGAAGAGCUAAGUGUAGUUGACGACAUCCAUGACACAUCGCCAGCCUGGUGAUAGGCUGUCAAAGAUGCCGUUAAACUUAAACAGAAAAGGAGAGUUACAGGAAGUUUUGUGAUUACCUUCAUGACACGCCAUCAAGCUCCUGAUAGGCCAUCACUAUCGUCGUCAACCUUAGGCAGCAGAAGCUGAAUUUGCAGAGAAGCUGACGAUGUCGAUGACAGGCCGUCAAAAUCAUAAUAGGCCGUCACAACCGUCGUCAUCUAUUCCGAAGAACAUCUACAACUUUAAUUUUAUUUCCUUAUUUAGGGUUAACUAUUUAAAUCCUUGUUUUAGGGUUUUUCUAUUAUCCAUCAAUUAAUUGAUAUAUCCUAUAACAUACGACUUUUUCUUCUCUCUCUCUCUCUCUCAAAGAUAAAUAUUUUGGUGGUUUGCCUUGUGAUUCAAUUGAAAGAACACUUUUGAUUUCCUUCAUUACUAUAAGUUAAUCCUUUCAAUCAUAAAUUCAACUUGUGUGCUUAUUUCCUGCAUCAUGAGUAGCUAAACACUCUUAACCUGGGUUAUGGAAUCUAGGGUUAGGUCAUGAUAAGGUGUUGAUUAAUUACUCAAGGUUUAAUAGGUGUUAGGAUUUCUUGGUAAUUCUUAUAUUCUAACUUAUUUCUAUUGGUUGCAAACAAUAGGCAUACCUACUUUGGUUUGCUUGAGAAAGAAAUCAUAAACAGUAGGAAGUGAAUGAUCGAUAGGGACUCGAAAAGGCUUCAUUUAAUAAUCAACGCUGUAACAAGGUUGAUUAACCUGAGAUAAAAUCUAGGCAGUGAGUUGCAAUUCCCUAAGUCUAAGAGGAUUAAGAAAUUAGAUGCUUGAAUAGCCCAAGAGACAAUCAAGCAUACUAUCGAUAGAGAUAGCUUGUUAUCCUAACCACCAUGAGAACCUUGAGUUAUUUGUAGCAUCUAUCAUAUACCAUAAACCCUAGUGAACAUAAUCCUGGUUAUUUCAUAAAAUAUUGAUUGCAAACAUUAGCCUCAAAGUGACUAACAAUUGUCUGAGAAAUUUAAACCCCUAUUUCAGGAAACAGUAAACUACCAGUGAAUUAUUUCGUAAACAACUUGAGUUCACACCCUAUUCCCUAUGAGAUUCGAUCCCAACCUAGUUGGACUUUAUAUUGACAAUGAUCGGUUACACCCGUUCAAGAGUGUAGUUUGAGCAUUAUAAAAAAUGGCACCGUUGCCGAGGAAUACGAUUGUAAACUGAAAGUUUGUGUACGCUAAUUUACUGUUAGUUAAGUUUUCUAGAUUUAUGUUUAUUUGUUGUUAUUGUCUAUUAUAGGUACUAUGUUGUUUAUGCCAAAAACAAGAAGUGCCAGAGAAAUGUUAUUGCCAAUCAAUCCAGAACCUCAACUGAUAGGGAAAAUGGCUAAACAAUAGAAGGCAGAUAGACUAAUCGCUUUUACCAGGGCUCAGGUGAACGUACAGAAUUUGGGUCAACAAGCACGUCACCAAAACCCUGAUGACGAAGACUUGAGUGAUAAGGAAUUUCUAAAUCCUCAAAACCCAAGGUAAGCUGAGCAACUUACUGAACCAGUGCAGCGAAAUGUUAAUAGAAACUGUCCAAUCCGAGGAAGGUAUGGAUAAUAGCCCGUUCAAUAUGAGGCUAAUAAAGAUGUUGAAGGAAUAGACGGACCUGGUGCAACGGGUGCUAUUAUUCCUCCACCAUUGGCACCAGGUGCAAAAUUCAGCAUAACAAGUACCAUGAUCCAACUCCCGAAUCUGAAGGGGUUGUUUGGAGGCUUACCUGGUGACGACCUGAACAUGUAUUUGGUGAACUUCAUCACUAUUUUAAAAUCUUUUGACAAUCCGAGAGUGAGCCAGAAUGCAAUCCGAUUGAGAUUAUUCCCUUUGUCUCUGUCUGGAGAGGUAACAAUGUGGUUAAAUAAGCUAUAUCUUGAUUCUAUAACCAACUAGAGACAUUUGAAAGAGGUGUUCCUAGAACGGUUCUUUCCACCCUCUAGAAGGGUACAGUUGAGGGACGAAAUCAAUAACUUCAAAUAACUCCCAACUAAAGCAUUGCACAUAACCUGGGAGAGUUUUAAGAAGAUAUUUGCACAAUGUCCAAACCACAACACGACAGACUUGCACUUGAAGGAGACUUUGUACAGAGCUUUCAACUCUGUGACAAAGCCAAUUGUAGACAACGCUGUAGGUGGUUCGUUCAUUGAUCUCUCUUUCCUUGAUACUUCUGACAUGCUGAAUAAAAUAACCAAGAAGAAUCGGGCUUGGCACACUAGGGAUUAUGUAGUGGCUAGCUUGACUGUUGCCGGUGGUGUAAAUACAGAGCAGCGUAGAAGGGAUGAGGAGUGAGACCAGGACAUGGACUACUUAAAGACACAAAUGGACUUGCUGACCAAGCAAUUGCUAUCAGGCAAGAUCAAAAUAGUUAAGGCUAUGGAAUCUCAGGGUACUGUUUCAACAGGUGUCAAUGCAGAGGCAAACUAUGUGAGUAAUCAGGGGGUUUCUGAGGUAAUAGCCAAGGGAACCAAGGUCGGAACUUCUAUGACAAGCUUGAUUAUAAAGAUAGGGAGCAGGGACACUGGAGAAAUAAUAAUGACAGAAGUGGUUUGUACGUUCCUAUUGGAAGUAGGGAUGCUGCAACAACUAGCUCUGGCAAGAUGUCUAUGGAGGAUAUGAUGGAAAAGUUGUUGAAGGGAAUUGAAGCUACCAACUCAGGAGUAACUACUAUGAAGAGUGAAUUCUCUACCCUCAGUCAGUUGGUUAGCUCAGACUCUGCUUCUAUAAAGCAGUUGGAGCAGCAGAUGAACCAACUUUCUACUACACUAAACUAGAGAAAAACUGGUACUUUACCUAGUGAUAUGGUUCAGAACCCGUGAAAUAAUGGUUCGUGUAUGGAGAUUACCACUCGGAGUGGUAAGUUGUUAUGUGACCCCUUUAUGGGAAAAUUUAUGGAAAAUAAGGUAAGUAUUGAUGAACCCGAAGAAAGUAGUCCAGUGGAGUCUAAGAAGCUGGAUGGUUUUGUUGAUAUUUCAGAUAAAGAUGACAAGAAGGAGGAGGAAGUGGUGUUAAAUACUAUCCCUAGACCGCCACUUCCCUUUUCUCAAUGAUUGAAGAAAAAGGUCGAUGAGGCAAAAUUUGGCAAGUUCAUGGCUAUGCUCAAGUAAUUGACAGUUAAUGUAUCUUUGGUUGAGGAACUUGAGCAAAUUCCAGGCUAUGCCAAGUUCAUGAAAGAUCUCAUCACAAAGAAGAGUAAGGUCAGCAGUGAGUAGGUGGACAAUCUCCUCUAUUGUAGCGUGGUUUCCACAUGAUUCUUAGUGCAAAAGAAGGCCGACCUAGGUGCAUUCACUAUUUCAUGCAAGGUUGGGUCUCUAGAUGUUGCAAAAGCAUUAUGUAAUUUGGGUUCCAGCAUGAAUCUGAUGCCACUUGCUGUAUGUAAGAAGCUGGGUUUGGAAGAUCCAACACCUACUAACAUGCGACUGGUGAUGACAGAUAGGUCAAUAAAGCGGCCUGUUGGAAUUUUGCAUGAUGUGUUGGUGAAAGUAGCAGACUUUAUUCUUCCUACUGAUUUUGUGGUACUGGAUUGUGAUGUGGACUUUGAGGUACCCAUUAUCUUGGGAAGGCCACUCUUGGCAACAGAAAGAGUAAUAGUUGACAUGAAGUGGAAUAAGCUCAAGUUUAGGCUUGGUAAAAAAGAGGCAAAAUUCAAAAUGCAUCAACCCAUGUCACAACAAAAUGAUAUAAAUGUCUUCUCAAUCGUUGACGACUUCUAUAAAGAUGAAAAAGGGGUAUCAAUAGGUUGUCUUGGUGAAUUCUGAGUAAUCAAGAGAACCCAGCCGUGCCGUGACAGUAAAUCAGGCGCUAAUGGGAGGCAACCCAGAAUUUUUAUGUUUGAGAAAGUUUUUUUAUUUUUUAAAUUAGGAUUUAGUAUAGAGAAGGUGAAAAAAUGAAAAGGGUCAGCUGGAAGGUCAUGACGACAUCUGUGACAAGCCGUCCAACUGUGACAAGCUAUCACGAAUGCCGUCAGCUAGAUCAGACUUGAGAAAUUCUCUACCUACUAUUGACGACGAUCUUGAUGGGAUAUCACAACCGUGACAAGCCAUUACAAAUAGUCAUCAGCACAAAGCCUAAAAUCUAAAAACUAGGCAUAAUUUUAAUCAGAUCCGACCCGGCCUAAAUCGCGAGCCUUUUCAAAUUUCCAUCACUUUUAACUUCUUUUUCUUUAGUUAUUUUUUUUCUUAGUUAAAAUAGUUUCCAUUCUUGUAAAAACACUCUAAGCAAAACAAUUUUAAUUUGUGUAUGGUUUACACUUAAAAAUCAAGAACAUUUUCCUCCUUCACACUUUUUCUUGUGCGUGGCACUAGAUUAAAAGCUCCAUUACUCUACUUCAACUCUUCUUUGCUUGUGAUGUAUGGUGAAUGAAAGAUAACUCAAGUCCCCAAUAUGAUUGAACCAAGUUCAAACUUGGAAAAUAAAUAAAAUCAUACCUAGGGUUUGCUGUGCAAGCCCAAGGUUUGAAAAGAUAGUCCAUAAUUCGAAUUUAAGUAAAUCUUGAACAAAAAUGGGGACCAAAAAUUCAAUUAAAGUUAAAAAUAGAUUUUGAUAUGUGUGACGACAACCAUAAUAGGAUAUCACAACCGUGACGACCUAUCAGGAAUGUCGUCAAGCUUUGAAAAAUUUAAAGUGGUUCUGUCUAGAGCUGACAGCAUUCGUGACAGGCUAUCACAGUUGUGAUUGUCUAUCAUGAAUGUCAUCACAAAAUGGUAAGAAUUGCUGGGUUCUGUCUGAGGUUGGCGACAAUUAUGACAAGCUGUCACAGUUGUGAUGGCUUAUUUGGAAUUGGCGUCACACUUGGGGCCUGAAACAUAAAUGAGCUUAAAUUAUAAAUGUACCUGUGUUUGUGAUCUUUAAGGUUGACUAAUGUUCUUCUAAUAUUUCUAGGUACUCUAAAAUGGCACAAAAAAGAAAGAGUCCCAUAGAACUAAAGAAAGCAGCUAAAGAUGAUGUACAUCGUAAGCUCCUCAAUAAGGAAUUUGACUAUGAGGAGGAGGAACCCUUGCUCAGAAAGCUAAAGAAGAAGUAGAGUCCAAAGAAAACUCCACCACCUCCACCAAUUGAGGUGAAGGACAGUGAUGAUACUGAGUCGACCACAGUUUCUGAGCAGAAGGGGUCUAAAAAAGGUGAGUCUGAACAGCAUGAGUCUGAAUAUGCUGAAGUUGAUAAAGAUGAUCAAGAAGAAUUUGAAGAAUCUAAGUCUGAAGAAACAGCUUCCAUGUUCCCAUCCACUGAGCAACAAGAUGAUAAAGAGUCUCCACCUCGGAGGACUCUUAUCAAAUGUAAGAGCCCAGAAGUGAGGAACAAUGCUAGAUGGCAAAUCCCUAGAGCUGAAGACAUCUAUAUUGCUGGGUUGAAAAGAGCUGAUAGAAGGAAUGUGAAGAGGCUAAUCCAAGAAGAAAAGAUGAUCAUCAUGAAAGGGUUGAGCAGAUACCCUGAAGUGGAGAAGAAAUUCAAAGAAUACGACUUAGGACGGAUUACAGAAAGGGGAGGUUCAUUUUAGCCUACACUAGUUUAGGAGUUCUACGUGAGUUACCAAUCCCAGUUGGAGAAUAUGUGCAAACUAGGUGACAAAGUAUCAGAUCAACCUCUUCUAGUGAGAGUUUAGGUGAGGGGUAUAAGCAUUAAUGUUUCGAUUAGAGCCAUCAACAGAUUCUUGCACAACCCUGACUUCAUGCCUCAGGACACCACAUCAUUAUUUUAUGCUUGAAUAAAGAAUAAGGACAAACAACGUCUUUAGUUGGCCAACAUCAUCACUGAUGGAGAACCGGCUUGGGUGACAAACCCAAAUGAGAGAAUCUAUAAGUCCUCGUUGACUUAGGAGGCAAAAUUUUGGUGGGGCAUAGUGCGAGUUUGGCUAAUGCCUACUGAGGGAGACAAUAUUUUGGGUAAUGACUGGGCUAUUUUGGUAGCAAGUUUGGUGUAGCAGCUUUUCUUAAACAUUGGGGAAAUCAUUGCGGAUGAGAUGAAGAUCAGGAUGUCGAGGGUCGACACUGCUUAUCCUAUUCUUUGUCUUAUUACAGAGCUAUACAGAGCUGCUGAGGUGCUAAAUAUUAUGGGAGUUGACGAAGAUGUUCGUGCCCUGAAGACUCACAACCCCAUCCAGUUUCAUGAGAUUCAGUCGGGACUUAGACUUGACAGGGGGCCAGAGGUAGUAGCAGAACCACCGAUUACAGAUGUAGGAGCAGCACCUCAGGUCAAUGUACAGGAUUCUUCAGCAUAGGCAGCUUCAGUGUCUGAGACUGAAGCCAAUCCCUCAGUUCCUCCAGCAGCAACAGGUUUGGUAUUUUAUCCUAUUGAUAUCAGGAAGGUGGCUAAGCAAGCAAAGUGGUGGCCCAGCUACAUGCCUUUGCCAAACAAUUUAUUACUGCUGUGGACAAAAGAAUCAAGGUUGCACUAGAGCCUUUUAUGACAUUGCCUGUGCAAGUUGCAGAUUUAGAGAAUAGAUUCGAUGCCCGGGCAAAAGAGAUGACAGGUGCUAAUCUUGCUAUAUUCAGGGCUGCGUUGGAUAAGGUUAAGGAUGAGGUUGGGGUGCUACAGCAGCACUAAAUAUGAUACCAAAUUCCUAUACUUGAUCUCACUGUAGACUCCUUGAAGAAAAAGAAGAAAUUCCUAUACUUGAUCUCACUGUAGACUCCUUGAAGAAAAAGAAGAAAAAAGGGGAAAAGAAAGGCAAGAAUAAGAAAGAAGAGCCAGAUAGUGAAGAAGAAAGAAAAAUGAAGAAGAAGGCAAAGAAGAAGAAAGAAAAGAAAGAGUUAAAAAAGGCAAAAUUUGAGAAUAUGACUGAUAAUAAGAAAUAAGAAACAGCCAUUCGAGCUAGGGAUGUAGGUGCUUCAUCUAGCCAGGCUCCGACCACCGCCAGGCCAGAUACUUCUAAUGGGGAGAAGACAAUAGAUGAUAUAGUAGCAGGGUCGAAGACCUAGGAUCCACGUGCUUGACUGUCUUCAGGUAUACCCUAACCCUUAGUGCAUUUUAUUUUUGAUUAUUAAGUUGAGGGUGUAGGGUAAAUUAUUGUUGUAACAUAAUCUGUACAUAAUUAGGAGUAGUAUAAGUACUUGAGGUAGUUGUCUUAUUUUGUGAUUUAUGAGUACUUCUCCUGUGGUCUGAUUUAUUAUGUACUAUGUGAAUUGCAUCUGUUGUGACUACUGUAUAUCUUUUUGUGGCAUUAGUAUGGCAAAUGAAUGACUUGUGUUAAACAAAUGCAUGAACCGAAUAACUAGUGAUAUGUUAGAUACUUGUGUGCCAUGUGUGUGUAAGGUCUUGCUCAGUUCCUGUUGUGCUUUGAAUCUAGAACUUCCCGGUUAGUCAUGCCACGGUCAUCGGAUAGGCGUUAGGAAAGGAUCAUAGGCCAUUUUUGCAUAUUAUCCCACUUUAGCCUAAAUGACCUUCCCAAUGUAAAUAAUAUCCCUUGCUCUCCCUUUGACCCUAAAUAGCCUAUUUUUUUUCUUGUGCACCUUUUACCUUCCCGUUUAUAUCACAAUGAACCUGUCUUGGCCCUGGUCCACCUUGACUUAGGCAAAUAACCUAAGUUGAGGGUGGCUAUUAUAGGGGUGCGUGAUGCAAUCUAUGUAUGAAGAGAGAUAGAAUGAGAAGGAUAAAUAAAAAUUUAGGUGUGGUAAAAAAAUAAGAAAAAAGAAAAUUGUGUGAAAAAUAAUAAAAAUAUAAUCAGUUAAUUGAAAAGACCGCAUCCAUCUUGAGCACGCAUGAUCAAUAAAAGAGGGAAGAAAAGAAGGUUAAGAGUUGAAACGCCUAGGGUCUAAUGCAGUGUCAAGGAGGCUUAGUCACUUUGAAAUAUCCAUGAAUAUCAUACUAGCCCCUAGCCUAUGUUACAAGCUUAAGAAAAGCCCUAUAGUGAUCCUAACUUACCUGUUUGAAGACUUGGGUACUGAAUAUAAGGGCAAGCCUAUGGAAUUUGAUGCGCAAUAUUGGAACUUCGUUCUGAGAGUGAGUCUUAUGUUUAUCCUUGUGUGUAUAAAUUUUUAUAUGAGUGAAAAAGGGAUUUCUUUGUUGUGAGGGCAUACUAGGUAUGUUUCUAAUCACUAUCUUAUUCGGAUAGUGUGAUUUGGGUAUGUGCUAGGUUGUUAUUGCUAAAAUUUUUGCCAUAUCUUGAUCUUUGUGAGUUGCAUGGGUGUUUUCAAUAAUAGACACAGUUGCUCUUACUUUGACUGACCUUGGAGAUGGUGCAUGUAUUCUAAACUGAUAUGAGUAGUUAGCUGCCAAAUUGUACUUUGUAUACACUUAGUUAUGCUAAGGUUGCUUGAGGAUAAGAAAUUGUUUAAGUUGAGGGUGUUGAUGUGUGAGCUCAUGCUAACACAUUUGAAGAUUUUAACUUUAAAUAAUUGCAAAGUCUUGAACAACUUUCGUCGUUUUUGAUUAGUUUACAUUGGUUUUGCAGUAAAAGUAGAGAAGAAGGAGAACCACAAAUAAAAGAAGAAAAAAGUAUGAGAUCAAAAGCAAAUGAAGAGCUAAGUGUGGCUGAGACAUCCAUGACACGUCUUCAUCCUGGUGAUAGGAUGUCAAGGAUGUCGUCAAACUAAAACAGAAGAGGGGAGUUGCAGAAAGUUUUAUGACGACCUUCAUGACAUGCAAUCAAGAUCCUGAUAGGCCGUCACUGUAGUCAUCGACCUUAGGCAGUAGAAGCUGAAUUUGCAGAGAAGCUAACGACGUCCAUGACAGGCUGUCAAAAUCAUGAUAGGCCAUCACAACCGCCGUCAUCUAUUUCAAAGAACAUAUGAAACUUUAAUUUUAUUUCCUUAUUUACGGUUAACUAUUUAAAUCCUUAUUUUAGGGUUUUCCUAUUAUCUAUCAAUUAAUUGACAUAUCCUACAACAUACGACUUUUUCUUCUCUCUCUCUCUCUCUCUCAAAGAUAAAUAUUUUGGUGGUUUGCCUUGUGAUUCAAUUGAAAGAACACUUUUGAUUUCCUUCAUUACUGUAAGUUAAUCCUUUCAAUCAUGAAUUCAACUUGUGUGCUUAUUUCCUGCAUCAUGAGUAGCUAAACACUCUUAAUCUGGGUUAUGCAAUCUAGGGUUAGGUCAUGAUAAGGUGUUGAUUAAUUACUCAAAGUUUAAUAGGGGUUAGGAUUUCUUGAUAAUUCUGUUAUUCUAACUUAUGUCUGUUAGUUGCAAACAAUAGGCGUACCUACUUUGGUUUGCUUGAGAAAAAAAUCAUAAAAAGUAGGAAGUGAAUUAUUGAUAGGGACUCAAAAAGGUUUCAUUUAAUAAUCAGCGCUGUAACAAGGUUGAUUAACCUAAGGUAAAAUCUGGGUAGUGAGUUAUGAUUCUCGAAGUCCGAGAGGAUUAGGAAAUUAGACGCUUGAAUAGAUCGAGAGACCUUCGAGCUUAAUAUCGAUAGAGAUAGCUUGUCAUCCUAACUACCGUGAGAACCUUGAGUUAUUUGUAGCAUCUGUUAUAUACCAUAAACCCUUGUGAACAUAAUCUUGGUUAUUUCAUAAAAUAUUGAUUAGAAACAUUAACCUCAAAGUGACUAACAAUUGUCUGAGAAAUUUAAACCCCCAUUUCAGGAAACAGUAAACUACCAGUGAAUUAUUUCGUAAAUAACUUGAGUUCACACCCUAUUCCCUGUGGGAUUCGACCCCAACCUAGUUGGGUUUUAUAUUGGCAAUGAUUACUUACACCCGUUCAAGAGUGUAGUUUGAGGGUUAUCAUGAAUUCUUCAGCAUUUUUCGAAUCUAAGUUUGAGGAAAUCUACAGGAGUUCCUAAACAGUGUUUAGAAAAUGACUGAGAUCAUCGGUGUCACUUCGAGUGAAAGUGCUGAUUUGAUUGACUACCAAUUACAAGGAGUGGAACAUACUUAGCUUAAGUGGUGAAAGAAGGACAAGGGUGUUGAAGCAAGGCUUAUAGAGUGGAGGCCUAAGUUCAAGAGUUCAUCAACUUGAAGCAGAGUAACAUAAGCGCGAGGUAGUAUUUGUUCUAGUUUAUCAGGUAUGCUUCAAAUGUAGUGGCAGAUUCCAGGGCCCAAAUAAGUAAGUUUGUAUUUGGUGCUUCAAAGAAUGUAGUCAAGGAGUGUAGGAUGGCUAUGUUGAUUAAGGAGAUAGACCUAUUAAGAUAGAUGGUUCAUGCUCAGCAGAUUGAGGAAGAGACGCCCUAGGAGAAGGAAAGAGAAAAUAAGAAGGCCAGGACCGAUAGUUUCAAUUUCUCUCAUCAAAGGUCAAAUAGUGGGAAUCUUCUCACUUCUACCAAAGAUCUUCAGCCCUAGCACUAUAGGUAUCGUUCUCAAUUUUGAUAGAUAUCUUCAUCCCUAGCCCUGUUAUCAGCUAGUGCUUUAGUGCCUAAAUUCUGAUAGGAUACUCGUGAUAGGGAAUCAAGAUCUAAGUCCCAGGAUAGCUUAAAUAGUGGUUGCACCAAUCUAGUUUGCAUAAGAAGUGGUAUGAACCACAAAGGUGGGUGCAUGGUAGGUAGAGAUACUUAUUUUAGUCAUGGCAAGUCAGGCCACCGGAUAAGAAAGUGCCCUGUGAUUGCACAAAGAGGUAGGAAUAAUCGUUAGGAGGGACAGACUAAAUGUUCAACAGUUUAAGCAGGUCGCUCAACUCAGCAGGGUGCCAUUUUUAGCACAACCAGUAAACAAUAUCAGAAUCAAAUUUAUGCCCUUCAGACUCGACAUAAGCAGAAGGGUUCUCCUGAUAUAGUUACUGGUACAUUACAAGUCUUUCACAUUCAUGUAUAUGCGUUAUUAGACCCUGGAGCCAUACUUUUCUUCAUAACUCCCUAUAUAGAAGUCGAUUUUGGUAUCAGUUCUAAAAUCCUUGAAGAUCCCUUCUCAAUUUCUAGUCCAGUCGGUCUCUCUAUUAUAGCCAGAUGGGUAUACAAAAAUUGGUUAGUCACAGUAUCUCAGAAAGUCACUUCAGCUGAUCUUAUAGAGUUAGAGAUGACCGACUUUGAUGUCAUCCUUGGCAUGGAUUAGCUCUACUUUUACUAUGCCUCCAUUAAUUGUAAAAAUAGAGUAGUCAAGUUUCAGUUUCUUAAUGAGCUAGUCCUAGAAUGGAAUGGUUGUACCUCAAAGCCCAUAGGUCGGUUUGUCUCCUUUCUUAAGUCAAGGAAAAUGAUUUCUAAAGGAUGCAUCUAUCAUCUUAUUCGAGUCAAAGACUCAAGGUUUGAAACCCCAAGUCUUGAGUCUGUUUUGAUAGUGAAUAAGUUUCCAAAAGUUUUUCCUAAAGAUCUACCCCAGUCCCUCCCGAGAGAGAAAUUAACUUCAAAUAAAUCUCCUUUUAGACGCCCAGCCUAUCUCAAUUCUACCUUACAGAAUGGGGCUAGAUAAUCUUAAGAAAUUGAAAUAACAAUUGAGAGAUAUCCUUGAUAAGGGUUUCAUAAGGCCUAGUGUCUCUCCAUGGGGUGAUCCACUUCUCUUUGUGCUCAAGAAAGAUGGAUCUUUCAGAAUAUGCAUCGAUUAUCGUCAAUUGAACAAAGUCACAAUCAAGAAUAAAUAUAGUCUACCUAGGAUUGAUGACUUGUUCGACCAACUUUAGGGUACAAAUUAUUUCUCUAAGAUAGACCUUAGAUUUGACUAUUAUCAGCUUAGAGUCAGAGAAUGUGAUAUUCCAAAGAUACCCUUCCGAACUCGGUAUGGUCCUAAUAAAUGCUCCUGUAGCUUUUAUGUACUUGAUGAAUAAGGUGUUAAAGUAGUACCUAGAAAUAUUCAUUAUAGUCUUCAUAGAUGACAUUAUCGUCUAUCAUCAUAGUAAGGAUGAGCAUGCAAACCAUUUAAAGAUUGUUUUACAGACUCAAGGAUCACCAGUUAUUCGCUAAGUUCAAUAAAUAUAAAUUUUGGCUAAAAUAAGUAGCUUUCCUUGGUCACAUUAUUUCUAAUGAUGGUAUUCGAGUUGAUCCCCAAAAUAUCGAGGCAGUAAGGAACUAUCUUAGACUUAUUUCUCCCUCAGACAACAGGAGUUUCUCGGGUCUAUCUUAUUACUAUAGGAGGUUUGUUGAGGGAUUUUCUUCUAUUGAUUCCCCAUGUCUAGAGUGACUCAAAAGAAAGUCAAUUUUUGUGGUCCAAUUCUUGCGAGAAGAGUUUUCAGGAGUUGAAAACUUAACUCAUAAAAAUAAUUAUAUGACCCAUGAUCUUGAGUUGGUAGAAGUUGUAUUUGCCUUAAAGAUUUGGAGGCAUUACUUUAUGGGGUUCAUGUAGAUGUGUUUACUGAUCACAAAAGUCUUCAGUAUGUAUUCACUCAGAAAGAUCUAAGCUUCAUCAGAGAAGGUGCCUAGAGCUAUUAAAUAAUAGUGUGUUGUAUCACCUGAGUAAGGCCAAUGUUUUGGCCAAUGCCCUUGCAGAUUGUGUAUGGGUAGUAUUGCUCACAUUAUGGAUGAAAACAAGGAUUUAGUUUGUGAAGUCCACUAGCUUGCUAGAUUGGGAGUUUGGUUGCUUGAUUCGAUCAAAGGUAGUAUUUAGGUUUAGAAUAGUUCAGAAUCUUCUUUGGUUGCGGGGGUAAAGGAAAAUCAAGAUAGUGAUCCUAAUUUACUUAGGUUGAAGGAUGCAGUUCAGAAUCAAAAGGUUGAGGUUUUCUCCCAAAGAGGAGAUGGUGUUCUGUGUUAUCAGGAUAGGUUAUGUAUUCUGAAUAUGGGUGAUUUGAGAUAGCAGAUAGUAGCAGAAGCUCAUGGUUCGCGAUAUUUUAUUCAUCUUGGAGCCACUAAGAUUUACUGUGAUUUUUGGAAUUCUAUUGGAUGAGUAGUAUAACGAAAGAUAUUGCGGAAUUUGAGGCUAAGUGUCUAAAUAGCCAACAGGUUAGGGUUGAGGACUAGAGGCCUAGUGGUAUGGUUUAGGAAUUCAGCAUUCUCACCUAGAAGUAAGAAGUGGUGAAUAUGGUCAUCAUCACAGGGCUACCUUGUACUGGUCACUAGUAGGAUUCCAUUUGGGUUAUUGUAGAUCAAAUGUCUAAGCUCAUAUUUUGUUAGUUAGUACUUUCGACUCAACUUUAGAUUAUGAUAGACUCUAUCUUAAAGAGUUGGUGAAGUUUUAUGGAGUCCGUUUGACCAUUAUUUUAGAUAAAGGUACAAGGUUUACCUCUCAUUUUUGGAAGGCUUUUCAAAAGGGUCUUGGUACCUAAGUUUACCUUAAUACAGCUUUGCACCUUUAGAUUGAUGGCUAGGACGAGAGGACCAUUCAGACCUUAAAGGACACAUUGAGAGUUGUGCAAUCAAUUUCAAGGGUAGAUGGGAUUUUCACUUGCCUUUGAUUGAGUUUGCCUAUAAUAAAAGUUUCACUCCAGUACUCAAAUGACCCUAUUUGAGGCAUUCUAUAAUAGGAGGUGUAUAUCUCUCAUUAGUUCAUUUGAGGUUAGUGAAGCUACUUUGAUAGGGCCAGAUUCAAUGCAUGUGGCAAUGGAGAAGGUUCAGAUGAUUAGAAAAAGGCUGAAAAUAGCCCAAAGUUUUCAGAAAUACUAUGCAAAUGUGAGGAGAAGGUAGCCUGAGUUUGAUGUUAGUGACCUUUUCUAUUUAAAAAUUUCACCCAUGAAAUGGGUAAAGAGGUUUGAUAAGAAAGGAAAGCUCAGUCCUCGUUUUGUUAGCCCUUAUAUGAUUUUGAUCCGGUAUAAAAAGGUAUUCUAUAAGUUGGAGUUGCCUAUAGAGUUGGCAUCAAUGCACCCAGUAUUCUAUGUCUCCUUAUUGAAGAAACACCUUGGUGACACGACUCAGUAGUCCCUUUAGAAAAGAUAGGCGUGGAAGGUAGUCUCUCGUAUGAAGAGGUCUCCAUUGAGAUCCUUGAUCGCAAGAUUCGUAGGCUAAGGAACAAAGAGAAAGAUUUAGUGAAGGUUUGGUGGAGAAACCAGUUACUUGGAAGACCAAAGCAGAUAUGAUGACUAAGUACCCCAUCUUUUCUCUUCAAACCCAGUCCCAGUUUGAGAUAAUAGCUUUCUUAAUUAAUUAAUCCUUUUAUUUCUAUCUUAGUCAUCCAACUAUCUUUAUGUAAUAGAAUGCAUUCAUAAAUCCAGUUCAUGCAUCAGUCAUAAGUUCAGAUGUUAGUUCAUGAUUCAGCUCGUAAACAUUCAGUGUGUGAUCUCAGUUUUCCCUAGCCUCUCAGCUAAGUCAGUUUCAUUCAAGGAUGAAUGAUCUCAAAGGGGAUAUAUUAUAAUACCCUAAGUUUUCAAUAUCUAAUCCCAUCAAAAAAUAGGCUAUUAAAGUAGUUUUUCCAAUUUCACAAGUCUCACCUUAAUACGAUGUAGCGGAAAAAAGUUAUAGAAAUUUUCCCUAAGAGUCUGUUAGGUUGCUAGUGGUAACAAUUCAGGCAAUGAAUCAUUACCAGUCGUAUUGAGUCAUAACCUAGACACAUUACCAUGGCAGUGAGUGACUUGGGGAUUCUACUUAGCGGUAACAAGUCCAACACACAACUCGUUAUCAUAUGUAAUGAGUCAUCAUGUGGACUCGUAGCCACACUAGUGAGGACCCCUAGAUUUCCAUCCAAGGGUAAAUAUUCUACCUCAUGACUCAUUAUCAGUGACAACAAGUCAUAGGGUGAACCCGUUACCUUAAAAUAGAGAAACCCAGAAAGUGAGUCUCAAAACACGACUACUCCUAACGGCUCAUGGCCAGACCUAAUGAGUCGCUAGGAAAGGGGUCAUUACCUUAUCAGUGAAGGCUCAUAACAUAGAAUCUCAGGUCAUGACUCAGAUCAUGACUCAUGACCAGAGGGUACGAUUUGUUGGCUGAGCUGUGACAAUUGGGACCAAAAUUCUUGCAUGAUUUUAAGGACUUUUUGGUAAAUUCCACCCCUUUAAAGCAAAAAACCAUGACGUUUAAGCCUUCAAAACAUCAGUUAUCAGGGGUAACAUUACCCUAACCUCUCAUAACUCAGAAAUCAUUCAAUAGAAAACAUAAGAAGUGAUUUCUUCUCUCAAAAGCUAAACUAGGGUUUACUAAGAAAGUUUAAGUUUCAUGAAGAUUUCUUCAAGGGGUUUGCUUUUAGGUAUGUGGGAUUUCAUCAAUGGGUCCCUUCGACUUAUUGAGUUCCAAGUAUUUCUCCAUUCUGAAGUAAAAUUUCCUUUCCCCUUAUUUUUGGGUUCCAGGUCAAAUAUGAGUUUUGUUCAACUCUUUCAAUUUAUUUUAUGUAUGAAUGAUGAAUACAUGUUUCCCCAUAAGAUUUAUGCCUCCAUGUGUCAAAUAAUUAUAAACUUCCAUAUCACUAUUCGUUAUUGAAAUAUUAAGCCUUAUUCAUAAAAUUCUCUACCAUGAUCAACUUUUAAUAUUAUCAUGUUUUGUUGUAUUAACCAUUGAUGGUGGGUUAUGAACACCUGAUAUGUAAGAACUUAAACAUGCAUCAGUUUACAUGUUCAUGAUUACUUCAGAUUAUGCAUACAUUGUUAUUUUCAGAAUGCCAUAGCUUGAGCAUAUCAAUAUCAGUCAUGUUUUAGUUAAACUUUAGUGUCACUAAAUUGGGAGUAAUACUUAGCACCGAGUGAAUGCGGGGAUGACGGAUGCCCCAUCAGUUAGGCAGAGAUCAUUAGUAUAAGUCCUUAUGUUCUAGAACUAUGACACCAUCUUAGGUUAUAAGGGGUCACCCAUCAGUUUAGGCUUGACACCUAGUCCUUCGGGACAUCAGUAUAGUGGAUCCACGCCAGCCAGUGUUGGUACCCUUCGCAAAGUACUAGCACCAUUCCAACUAGUGCUACAUGUUGGACACUGAUUAGCUCAGAUUGGUUUAUAUUGCUUAUUGUUAGAUCCCACAAUCCUCAAUUUAGUACUCAGAUUUUUACAGUUCAGUUUCGCAUGACCAAGUAUACAGUAUUCAGUCAUUUAGUUAUUGAGAUACCCAACAUAUAUUUGUACUUGGUCUUGCAUUCAAUUUUUAUGUUCAUGCAUUCAUGCUUAGUAUAUACGUAUAUUAUCUAGAUUUUUAUCUUGCAUACUUAUUAUAUUCAACAAACCGGUAUAAUACUUCUUUAUGCUAUAUUGUCUCAUAAUAUAGGUGUAACGCCCCCAAACAUUUCCUAGAUAAAUUUUGUCCCUAAAGUGUCAAGCUUUGGCUUCUAGAAUUAUUUACACUUAUUUCGCAGUGGAAUUCCAUAGAUUUUAACUUUUCAUUGCGUAGAUGACUGAAUAAGCUUUCCAUCGAUAUAAGAUUCGUCCAAAACAGACACUCGGUGAAGAAGUUAUGGCUAUUUUAUGUGCUAGUUGUAAAACAUUGUUAUUUUGGUGUUUAGCGCAUCACGGAGAUGGUUUAAUUAGCAAUUGUCAAAUUCUAGUGAAACCUUGUGAUAAAGGCGCAUUGCAGAGGAUCCCAAUUUCGCAUUUGUCAAUUUCCAGUGAGCCACCGGGAUAGUGGCGCAUCGCGGUGGCCCAUAAAAUCGGGCACUAGUUAUAUUUUUUUUACUCCAUCUCAUUAAGGGUAAAAUGGUACUUCUCCAACCCCUUAUCAUCUCUAACACGGGAUUUAAUCCCAAGAACACCAAAGUAAGAUUAUUUUCAUCAAAAUCUCUCAAGAAACUCCAUUAGGGUUUCAAACUAAAAAUCCUCGUAACUCAAGAUUCGGCCGUGACUUUUUGAAGAUAAUUAGACAUUUGGAAUCCCCAAUCCGUAAGCUUCAAGAAUCAUUCAUUAUUCUUUAAAAUAGAGGUACGCAUGGUUUUCCUACAAUCUCAUGGGCAUAGAAAUCAUGAUUUUAAGAAAGAAAUUUUCAGAUUUAUGAAUACAUUCAUGUUUUAGAAAUCUUGACGGUAUUGUUUUGGUCUUUUGACCUUUCCCACAUUGAUUAGAAAUUUUAUAUAUAUGUAUGCUUAUGUUUUAAGAUUGAUGAUUUAAUUGAGAGCAUGAAUUAUGUAAAAUCCCUCUCUUGUUUUGAUUUUCCUUUACUUAUCAUAUGCUAUAGAUGUUUUGAAUGUAUCCUUGAAAAACAUGGUUUAAAUUGUCUUGAAUUGUGUUAUGAUUGGAUUAAGAUUUCGAUUUCAAAAGAGAGGGUAUUUGUGUUGAUAAAUGUUUAAAAUAUUCAUAUAAGGAAAGAGUGCAGAAAGAGUGCAUGAUUUUGCCAAAAGCACAUGACCACCAUAUGUUUAAAGGAUAUUUGCAUAGUUUUGAUUUAUGCUUCAGAAUAUGAAAUGUCUUGUACUAUUUGCAUGUUUGGGUGGUAUGAGCUAUGUUUUAAUGAAAGAUCAUGCUUAUUAUAAUAUGUCUCAAAAAUAGGACUUGCAAGUCUUGGUAUGACGACACCAAUUCAGAUUAUGCCAUGAUAAUUUAGAACAGAAUAGAAUGCAUGCUUGAAAUUAGACUUUCAGAUUUUAAGAUUUAUAAUGAUGUAUGUUUUAGAAGUGGUUAAAACUGGGCAUAAAGAGACGUUAGGUGGUUUCCCGAAUGAGGCAUGAGUUCAGACAACUCAUUGCCCAAAACCGUGAUUUGUCGAUCCGGGUGUAUUAUAUUGCGCUGGUCUAACGUCUUGUGGUGUAUCAAAAAUAGAAACUCCAACCCUUGUAGCACACUCGGGUUGGGGGAUUCUCCGCCGAGUCAAUGGCGGAUUCCAUAUAGCCCGUGAGAUUUUAGAAUUGUAGGGGCGUACCACCUAACUCAGAAGUAAUACAAAGAUCAGACAGUGCAUUGACAAGAAUGACUUAUGAUUUUCAGAAAGUGCCCAUGUGUUUUUGAGAACUGUUUAUGGAUGAUGUUUUAACAAAUUGUUCUCCACUAUUUCACUUAUAAAAAAGUUUUAUUUUAGAUUACUUUGCGUACCAGUACAUCUGUAUUGACCCCACUCUUCCCUCCAGGUUCUGAGGCUCAGUCUAGGGGUCCAGAAAAGCAAUAGAUUUUAUCAGAUAGAGUUGUAGUGCCUAGUUAGUGAGCCUUCUUUAUUCCAGAAGGCCUAUUUAUUUUCAGACAACUAUUAUUAGAUAUGGUUUUCGUCUACUGGGGGGCUUGUCCUAGUUUCAGAUAAUUGUCAGAUUUUCAUGUAGUAGAGAUUUCACAGAUUGAGUCAGAUGUUAUUUAGAUGUAAUUGAUUUACAGUUUCCAUACUUAUGAUGAAUUCAGAAAUAAUUUUCAUAAAUAUCAAAAAAGGCAUAAAUGCCUACAGAAUAGCAAAUGGGGAAUAUAAUCUUUGGGGAAAGGAAAAAUAAAAUGCGAGGAAAACAAACUCACAAAGUUGACAAUAGAAAACACUAGUAUCCGAAUGAUCCCUUGUCGGCCUUCGCCUUCUUGGGUAAACCCACCUCAUGCCAUACACGAUACCUGUUGGUGAUCGGAUGUCUUCUACAAAAUUAAAGCUUCCAAGGAAAGACAAAUAUCCGAUAUGCAUUAUAAGGAUUUUACCGUCUUGCGCACUCAUAUAUUUCCACCAAUCGUUCGACUUAAUCAUUAUCUUGAAUCCUCUUAUGGGAUUGGUUAAUCCAUACCUACACAAAAGGAAACAAGGUAAGCUUUUCUCCCCACACCAAAUAAUGAUAUUGGAUUAGAUUUAUUGACACAUACUACUUCAACUUAUAAAUAUGAUUCACUGUGAUUGACUCAUGGUCACUAGACAUUGGGUAGAUUUUUUAAUGGACCUAAUGCCCCCUCUUAUAUAUAUCCCCCCCCCCCCCCCCCCCCCCCCAAUACAUAGAGGUUUUGGAUUCCCUAGUCUUAUGCAUAAAAAUGAUUUUGAUUUUGCUCUAUCCUAGAUAUCUAGAGUGAAUUUUGACCAGGUUUUCAAGUGGAUAACUUAGGUUUUGAAAUACAAAUAGUCAUCGGACACCUAACACAACAAUAAACUGUCAUACUUCCAACACUUUCAUUUGAAAUUAAUCAAUAAAGGCCACGACAACCGCGAAACUCCAAAAAUUUAAGGAUCAAUAAGUAAGUAUGUCAUGAAUGCAGAUGAUAGAUUAUCACAAGAUAUUACUAAUCUAGCAUAGUUAUUCAAAUAAGCUCAAAUAAAUCAAAUAGUUUAAAAAAUAGUUAGAAUCUUAAUAAAUUCCCUUGCAGAGUCAUCAGUUCUGUUUUAUACCUUUUCGAAUCGAAGUUGGAAAACAUGGGUCUUUGACUUUUAAACUAUUUCAAAACUUUAAAGAAAAUCUCAAAAUAAUUUAAGAAAAUACAGAGUCGCACACUUAAUUUUUAAGAAAAUAUCAAGAAAAAAAUAAAAAUAUUUCAAAAUUUCUAAACCAGAAAUAAAUCCUUUUAAGCAUAGAAACUGGGUAAGGAGAUUCACAUAAAACCUUGAGAAGAAUUUUAAGACACUCAACAAGCAUCCACAAAACGACUGACCAAUAGAUAAUUUGGCUGAUUUGCAAAAAUGACUAAUUUUAAAAGCUUGACUAACUUUGUAAAAUCUGAAAUUUAUUUGCAAAUAGGACAUUCAUUUCUUUCAAGUGAAAAAAGUAAUUUACCUAAAUUAAUGGAAGAUCUACUUAAACUAAUUUUCAAAUUAUAUAUAAUAUUCAAGAGAACACAUCAUUUUAUGAAGAAAAAGUUAGUUUAGUCAAAAUAGAAAAAAUGUUUUUCAAAAGGUGAAAAUUUUUGGAAAAAAUGUCAAAUUGAGACAAGUAUUAGAUUAAUUAUAAACACUUGAAUUUCAAGAGGAUUAUUUUAAUAUCAGAAAAAGUCACUUUAACCUAAAUAAAUCACUAAUUAUAUGAACAAAAGUAAAUUUCAUUUUUUUUUGGAAGGCUUACUCUAAAGGGAAAACAUAAAUAAACUUACUUUUAUUAACCUAAGAUAUUAGACUGUCACAAAUGAUAAAGAAAAAAAGGUUGAGAAAAUGGGUUUUGAAAUCAUUUGGACCUGCUAGACUUUAAUCCUCAAUUUUUCAUGAUCUUUUUAGUCCAUUUCCAAUUUUUUUUCCACCUUUGAUAUCAAUGUAUAUCAGCUCCCCUUUUGUAGCAUUUAGGGACACAUUUUUUCAACUUUGAUUUUUUACCCAUUUUUGGGCCUUGACAUUUGACUCAAUGCUAUUGGGCCUUGGACCAUCGAAGAUGCAAAAUGAGAUAGUCCGUUAGGACGCAGACAAAUAUCACAUGCAUCAAAUAAUAGAUAAGGAUUAGCACAUGGUGAAUAUAAUGUAACUUGAUGUUAACAUACUUUUGAAAUAAGCAAGAUCACAUGCGCAUAAAGUCACAGACUUUGCUUAGGAAAACUUUAUGCAUAACAAUGGAAGGUAAAGCUUAGUAGAUAAAAUACAUAAGUCCAUACUACAUUUAGUUGCAAAGAAGUAACAAACUAUUCAUAUUUGUCAUAUGUUUACAGAGAAGUGGUAGGCAUUAGAGGUGUACAAGAAUCGAACCGAUAAACCAAACCGAUAAAAAUGUUAUUGAUUUAUUGUUAUUGGGUUAUUGGAUUAACGAUUUUUUAAUGAUUUUAUAAAAAAAAAAAUUAUUGAGUUAUUUGUUCGGUUCGAUUUUUUCUUAUUGGGUUAUAAUAUAUAUAUAUAUAUAUAUAUAUAUAUAUAUGACUUAUUAUAUAUUUCUUAGAAUCUCUUUAAUUUCUACAAAUUAACAAACUUAUUAUUUCAAUUAUACAAACUCUUAAUUUCUCCCAACAACGUUUAGUUCAAACUUGAAUGUUCUAGUAAAUUAAAACACAUCAUGUAGGAUUUUUGGUGGCAACUAAAAUUCAAUUUUUUUUCAUAUUAGUUACCACUAAUUCUAUUUUAUGAAUAUUUUCUUAUCGGUUAAACCAAAAACCUAACCGUUAGGCAAAUAUAGAUUAUGCAGCCAUUUAGAAUUUCAUGUUAAUGUAAGGAAAAAUUCAAAAUAUACUUUGACAGGUUUUAAUACAUUCUAUUCGAAAAAUAAUGCAAAGAACUAAGAAUUGCCUUCAUUUUAACACCAGAGACAUCCAUGCACUAAAACCCAUUCACAAUUCUUGCUUAGAGUUCCCAGUGAUGAAAAUAUACCAUAGUGAAGAUAUGUUUCACCUUUGUGUUCUGAUCACAAAAAAAAGGGAAAAAAAAUCUGACUACAUGAAUAUUACUGCUGGAAGAGCAUCUAGAAGCAGGCUUGUGGUGAAGGAGAUGAAUAAUGUUCGAUAUUCAUUUACGUCCUCUUGCCCUAUUAAAGAAGAGAACUCAAGAGGCUUCAUCCCCUCCUUGAGAAAGACACUUAUUAGCUAAUUCAAGAGGUCCUUGGGGAAUUCUCAACUUAGAAAACACACUCAAGCUCCUACUUCAGUGAUAUAAAACAAUCAAACAAGAAUAUAAUUGCAAACGGACAAAUUGAUGUCUAUCCUUAAACAUUGUUAUGCUUCAAAACAUAUAAAAAUCUCAUUUUUUUUCACAUCUAAGACCUAUCUCAGUUCCAAAUAAACACAAAAAGGGAAAUCAUUUCAUACUUUACGCUACAAUUUCAAAGAUUUUUUACGGCAUCAAAACAUAUAUAUGUACGUAGGUUCAUACAAGACCAUUCCAAUUAUUUCGCAUAUAUGACCCCAAAUAGAGUUGCCAUGAUUCAACACAAGGGGAAACAGAUUAACAUGCAUAAUUACCUAUUCAUAUGGCUCAUACCAAGACAGGACUUAGCUAAGCGGCGAUAAUUUUUGAAAAUUAGCGUGGAAGUUUCAAACAAGUAGUAUGCAGGCCACUACUAUAUCACGCUACUGAAUUUAAAAGAAUUUGACAAGAUGUAAUGAAUAGCAAAAUCACUUAAAUUUGGCGCGAAACAAACAAAACCACAACCCAUAACAGAGAAGGUAAUUUAGACAAAACAAAUUACCUUUUCUAAAGCAGCACAUUGGGAAUACAAGUUUUCAGAGACGAAACUUCCACCGAAACUGUAUUAUCAAAUUUAUUUCACCAGAGUUCAAAUUCAGACUCGUCGAAGAUCCACAAUUUAUUUCCGAAAUUUGAAUAUAUUUCUUCGUGAGUUUUGGUUUUGUCCGAUAGGAGCAUGCGCCUCUCGAAUUUUUAAUUUUUUUUCCAAAAAUCACUCUUCCUUCAGCCUUUAACUCACUGCCAAUUUAUAUAUAAAAGAAAGGCGGGGCAUUUUGGGUGGAAACAAAGGUGUAGAUUAGGGACUUAUGUCUUUUUGGAUAAGGGUUUUUGAAAAUCGAAUUGAAUUCUACCUAAUUGAGCCACGUUAGUACUAUAGGGCACAAAAUCGUGGGCAAUUGGACACUUGCGAUUCAACAACAACAACAACAAACAACAACAACAAACCUAGUGUAUUCCCACACACUUGCAAUUCAAUUAGGGUAAAAUAAAAAUUUGGGAAUUUGGGAAAAGUCCAAACCAAUGAGCAUGGUUCAUGUAUGUACUGUAUAGUACUAGAUUGCUGGAAUUUUGCUACACCUUAAGGGAUUUGAAUGCUGGCUUCGACGAGGUGUUGCAUUCCUAGAAGCUUUGAGGGAAUUAAAUGGAGUUUCUGACAAAACCCCAUGAGGUUUUGAUGGUGUUGGGGCAUCGUUUGAGGCUGUUGUUUGAUGGAAAUGUUGGGUUGUAUGGUGAGAUGUUGUUUGUAUGUUUUUGCCGAUGUUGAAGUUGUUGUCGGUGUAUGCUGGAUAAGUGGAGGAAUAAUGUUUGGGCCGGAUCGGAUCAGGCGAGUGAUGAGGUUUUAAAUUUAGGUUAUUUAACCGAUAGCUCA